GCCGCUGUGGUGGAAUUGGCAGACACACCUGACUCAAAAUCAGACGGAGAAUAUCCGUGCCGGUUCGAGUCCGGCCAGCGGCACCA
rnacentral:tRNA from 4 species